rnacentral:misc_RNA from 1 species
UCGUUGUUUUUUUCUG